rnacentral:rRNA from 1 species
UACGCAGGGGGCUAGCGUUGCUCGGAAUCACUGGGCGUAAAGGGUGCGUAGGUGGGUCUUUCAGUCAGGGGUGAAAUCCUGGAGCUCAACUCCAGAACUGCCUUUGAUACUGAAGAUCUUGAGUCCGGGAGAGGUGAGUGGAACUGCGAGUGUAGAGGUGAAAUUCGUAGAUAUUCGCAAGAACACCAGUGGCGAAGGCGGCUCACUGGUCCAUUACUGACGCUGAGGUGCGAAAGCGUGGGGAGCGAACAGG